rnacentral:lncRNA from 1 species
GCCGGGGCGUCCCCCGCGGGAGCCCGCAGCCACCCGGGACGCGCAUCCAGACGUGGCGCUUCGGACCGGGCACGCUGCGCCCGGGGGCUCGGCGGACCCCGCGUAGCCGCCGCUUCGGAGCUUGUGCGGCGCGGGCUGGCCAGCGGGGCGGCCAGGGCCCGGCCCGCCUCCCCAGCGCCCGCCCGGCUUCUCCCCCUGGCGGUGGGAGCCUCGGCGGCCGCUGGCGACACUAGGCGCACUGAAGCCCGAGCCGAGCCGAGCCCGAGCCGCCGCCGCCGCCGCCGCUGCUGCGCACCGCUCCCGGGCUCCCUCCCAGCGCGCCGGCCGGGGUGUGGGGGGCGGCGGGCCGGAGGGGCGAGGGCGGGCCAGGGGGCGCACACGGGGGUUGGCGCGGAAGACAGGACCCUCAGCCUCGAGGGAGCCCCUAGGUGACCAGGCAAAAUGGCAGUUCCUUCCAGCUGGUCCUCAGAUGGGCACAUCUAUUAGCCUCUGCUCUUGUAAGAAGUUAGCUGCAGAACCCACAUGUGAAUCCUUGUAGGACUCUGGAGAAGAUCAAAUGGGAGCUUAGAUGUGGAAGCUCUUUGGAAACCAAGAAACACUCUGAAAAUGAAAAGGAUACCAACUUCAUCUCUCUUUAAGAAUACAAUAUUAGUUUAAAAGAUUGUUCAACUUAAAGCAAUCUUGUAGAGAUUGUCACCCAUGAUUGAUGCUGGCAUAAGAAUGUUUAUCACAGCAUGGCAUAUAUUGGAAGUUUAGUAAAUGAAGAUACAUCCAAUCUGACAUUCUAUUCACAACCACAAAGAGAUAAUGUAGAAACAUAUUUAGUAAUGUGAGAAAAUACUAAAUAUUAAGUGAAAAAGGUGGAAGAGUAAACUGUUCCUGUUUCUCCAUCUUGACAGGAAGCAGAAGUUCUCCUUAGCUGAUUUUUCUUCUUGCCUUAUACUGGGUUCUUUAACACCAGAACAAAAAUAAAUAAAUAAAAGAAUCUUCCAGAAAUUCAUGAAGAGACUUCAGGUCAGGAAAGCCUGAACUUUCUCAUCCAACACCCGUUCAAGUCGGAGGAUGCUGAUUAAUUCAUGAUGGAAAGGUAUCAAUUUCACAGCCCAGACCUCUACAUUCUUGAAAUGCUCUUCUCAUGGGAGACAUUAAAUAAGCUUUGAAUUAACUUGCCAUGACACCCAGGAUGCAGCUGUAGGAACACCACUGGGUCCCUGGAUGUCAUGUAAGCCCUUAAGUAAAAGUGCCAUCAAAUGAUUUCUCAGAAAUUAUAAAGAAACAAAAGGACCAUAAACAAGAUAAGGUGGCAUGAGGAAACAUUACAAGUACCUUUCAGAGCUGACUGGCAAAGAAACUCCUGAGGUGACGGUUCUACCCCAAUAUUACUUCUUCGAAGAGCAACCUAACUCUUAGGUGGCCUAGAGGGGCAAGACUGGUGUGGCAAAUUGGGAUCAGCAGUGU